rnacentral:rRNA from 1 species
UUGAACUAUUUAGCUGAUCGCACGGUCUAAGAACCGGCGACAUAUCCUUCAAAUGUCUGCCUUAUCAACUUUCGAUGGUAGAUUAUGCGCCUACCAUGGUUGUAACGGGUAACGGAGAAUCAGGGUUUGAUUCCGGAGAGGGAGCCUGAGAAAUGGCUACCACAUCCAAGGAAGGCAGCAGGCACGCAAAUUACCCACUCCCGGCACGGGGAGGUAGUGACGAAAAAUAACAAGCUGGUCUCUUUGAGUUCCGGCAUUGUAAUGGGAACAACUCAAAUCAUUUAUCGAGGAUCUAUUGGAGGGCAAGUCUGGUGCCAGCAGCCGCGGUAAUUCCAGCUCCAAUAGCGUAUAUUAAAGUUGUUGCGGUUAAAAAG